AAUAUAGAUUUUAAUAAUUUUUCUUCUCUCUUUAUGUGUGUGUGUGUGUGUGUGUAUGUGUGUGUGUAUAUUAUUACACUCGCGAGCGCGGGGGAAAGAACUACAACAGUUUUUAAAAAAAAGAAGUAGCCUUUAUUCUUUGAGCAGAAAAGAAUACGCCGGGAAAACCGUUCUCUCUUAGCCAAAACGUCCGCACGAUGCUGAAGCUGUUAAGAGACUCCCUUCAGCUCUCAAAACAAACAGCACACCGACUAUUGCUAAGGAUCAUUUGUAAGCCGCGGAUUUCAGGAGCGACAUGAAUACGGCGCCUCACAAAUACUAUUUAAUCCAUUCAGUCAUAGACCACGUCCAAUCAUGGACACAAUAUCAGACUCACACGAACUUUAUUUAAUAUCUCAUAUCGUACAACAGUAUGUCAUAGUAAGAAUUCAUUCUUAUUCUAAAAAACUUAGUUCCACAUUAUUAGGACCACAUCAAAUAAUGAGACAAAAGUUACAUAAAACAAUUCUUUUUUAUAAUAUUUAAUGCAUAUAUACACGUGUGCAAUUAUAUAUAUAUAUAUAACUCAUAUAUAUAUAUAUAUAUAUAUAUAUAUAUAUAUAUAUAUGUAUACAUAUAUACCCAGCUAGCCAAAUCUGCUCAAGCAAAUUUUGCCCAACACUUGACUACAAAUUUUGUUGCCAAAAUGUCAUCAAAUUGGACACAAUAUCUGCUAAAUCAAAGGUUGUUGGCAAAUUGACGCCAAAUACCGAGCAAGAUUUAUGCGGUACAGUUUGACGUCAAAUUGAUGCCAAAUACUGAACAAAGCUUGGUGAAAUCUAACGCCAAAUUGACUCCAAAUACCGACCAAGGUUUGUGCGGCACAGUUUGGCGCCAAACUUUGCGAUAUUUGGCGACAAUUUGGCAUCAGAUUUUGUCACCAAGCUUUACCAACAAAACCCAAGCAUAUUGCGGACGCAGAUGGCAUCGGAUUAAGGCACUAAAAAGAUAGGUAUUCUUGUCCGCCAUUUUCAUGCUAUUCCCCCACUCCUUGCACUCCUGACGCUACGCCACUGAGCUGUCAGCCGAGGAAGCAUGGUAGGUUGAGCAUAGUAGUUACGAGUUCUAAGCUGAUCGAAAUUUUUUGUGUUUACGUGUCCAAAUUUCUUUCCGUUUAUAAAAUGUCUUGCUGCGCUGCAAUGAAUUGUUCGAACAGACCUGAAAAAAGUGUUCGAUUAUUUCAAUUUCCUAUGGAUAAUGUUCGUCGAACGCAAUGGGUACGUAAUGUCAACAGGGGAUCUUGGACACCAUCGAAAUCAACGUUCCUUUGCGAAAAACAUUUUGAAGAGUCGCAAUUUGAGACUGAUCGAGCAGAUAGUUGAAAAAAAUUGAAGCCAAAUGCCGUGCCGACGCUAUUCAAUGUAUUAAAUUCACCUGUUGCAAAUGAAAUAGCUGAUGAAAAUUUAACAGCUGAAAAUAAUGAAAAUAUAAGUGCAGCCACUGAGAAAGAUAGCUCUAUAGAUGCAGAAAAAAAUGUUGAGCCAGUUACAGAAGAGAGCCUUUUGUUGAUGUUGGCAGAAAAUCAGUUUUUGAAGCAGCAGUUGGAGAGAAUCCACGCAAUAAUAAGAUGCCAUGAUCAUCACUCAGCAGUUGCCACAUACCUAAAGAAUUAUAAUGUUGAAUAGUUCAAUCUGUAUAUAUGUAUAUGAUAUUCUUAAUGCUGU